rnacentral:rRNA from 1 species
UAAUACGGAGGAUGCAAGCGUUAUCCGGAUUCAUUGGGUUUAAAGGGUGCGUAGGCGGCUUUUUAAGUCAGUGGUGAAAUCCUGCCGCUUAACGGUAGAAUUGCCAUUGAUACUGAAAAGCUUGAGUACAAUUGAGGUAAGCGGAAUGUGUAGUGUAGCGGUGAAAUGCUUAGAUAUAACACAGAACACCAAUUGCGAAGGCAGCUUACUGGGAUACAACUGACGCUGAGGCACGAAAGCGUGGGGAUCAAACAGGAUUAGAUACCCUGGUAGUCCACGCAGUAAACGAUGAAUACUAGCUGUAUGCGAUAUACUGUAUGUGGCACAGCGAAAGCGUUAAGUAUUCCACCUGGGGAGUACGUUCGCAAGAAUGAAACUCAAAGGAAUUGACGG